rnacentral:rRNA from 1 species
CAACUCCAGUUGAUCCUGCUGGAGGCUACUGCUGUCAGGGUCCGAUUAAGCCAUGCAUGUCUGGGUUUCAAUUAUGAAACCCGGCGAACAGCUCAGUAACACGUGGACAACCUGCCCUCGGGAGGGGAAUAACCUCGGGAAACUGAGGAUAAUGCCCCAUAGGUUGGGAACUCUGGAAUGAUCCCAACCAAAAGGAUACUCUCUUGAGUAUCGCCCGAGGAUGGGUCUGCGGCGGAUUAGGUUGUUGGUAGGGUAACGGCCUACCAAGCCUACGAUCCGUACCGGCUAUGGGAGUAGGAGCCGGGAGAUGGAUACUGAGACAAAGAUCCAGGCCCUACGGGGCGCAGCAGGCGCGAAACCUCCACAAUGCGCGAAAGCGUGAUGGGGGGACCCUGAGUGUCUCCUUAACGGGAGACUUUUGCAGAGUGUAAAAAGCUCUGCGAAUAAGGGCUGGGUAAGACUGGUGCCAGCCUCCGCGGUAAAACCAGCAGCCCGAGUGGUAGUCACGUUUAUUGGGCUUAAAGCGUCCGUAGUCGGUCUAGCAAGUUCCCUGUGAAAUCCUAUUGCUUAACAAUAGGGCUCGCAGGGAAUACUGCUAGACUAGGGGCCGGGAGAGGUUGGAGGAAUUCCUGGGGUACCGGUGAAAUGGUAUAAUCCCAGGAAGACCACCGAUGGCGAAGGCAUCCAACUAGAACGGGCCCGACGAUGAGGGACGAAAGCUGGGGGAGCAAACCGGAUUAGAUACCCGGGUAGUCCCAGCCGUAAACGAUGUGGGCUAAGUAUCUCUCGAACCUCGUGUUCGAGAGGUGCUGAAGGGAAACCGUUAAGCCCACCGCCUGGGGAGUACGGUCGCAAGGCUGAAACUUAAAGGAAUUGGCGGGGGAGCACCACAAGGGGUGGAGUCUGCGGUUCAAUUGGAUACAACGCCGGGAAACUUACCAGGGGCGACGGCAGGAUGAUGGCCAGGCUGAAGGUCUUGCCAGACAAGCCGAGAGGUAGUGCAUGGCCGUCGUCAGCUCGUACCGUGAGGCGUGCGGUUAAGUCCGCUAACGAGCGAGACCCGUGCCCUUAUUUGCUACUCCUCUCGAUGGAGGGGAGGCACUAUAAGGGGACCGCUGGCGAUGAGCCAGAGGAAGGUGCGGGCGACGGUAGGUCAGUAUGCUCCGAAUCUCCUGGGCUACACGCGGACUACAAUGGCGUAGACAAUGGGUUGCGACUCCGAGAGGAGGAGCUAAUCCCCUAAACUACGCCUCAGUUCGGAUCGAGCCUUGAAACUCAGGCUCGUGAAGGUGAAAUCCCUAGUAAUCGCUCUUUACCAUAGAGCGGUGAAUAUGUCCCCGCUCCUUGCACACACCGCCCGUCAAACCAACCGAGUGAACUUGGGACGAGGCUCUCUCAUCCGGGAGAGUCGAGUUCUAAGUUCGCGAGGGGGGUUAAGUCGUAACAAGGUAGCCGUAGGGGGAUCUGCGGCUGGAUCACCUCCACAUU